rnacentral:rRNA from 1 species
GAUGAACGCUGGCGGCGUGCCUAACACAUGCAAGUCGAGCGAGGGUUUGCUCAGUAUUGAGUAUUCUAAGUCUAGAAUGUUCAAUUCUGAGCAAAACCAAGCGGCGGACGGGUGAGUAACGCGUGGGUAACCUGCCCUAUACACAUGGAUAACAUACUGAAAAGUUUACUAAUACAUGAUAAUAUAUAUUUGUGGCAUCGCAGAUAUAUCAAAGUGUUAGCGGUAUAGGAUGGACCCGCGUCUGAUUAGCUAGUUGGUGAGAUAACUGCCCACCAAGGCGACGAUCAGUAGCCGACCUGAGAGGGUGAUCGGCCACAUUGGAACUGAGACACGGUCCAAACUCCUACGGGAGGCAGCAGUGGGGAAUAUUGCACAAUGGGCGAAAGCCUGAUGCAGCAACGCCGCGUGAACGAUGAAGGUCUUCGGAUCGUAAAGUUCUGUUGCAGGGGAAGAUAAUGGCG